UGAGGAAUAUUGGUCAAUGGGCGAGAGCCUGAACCAGCCAAGUAGCGUGCAGGAUGACGGCCCUAUGGGUUGUAAACUGCUUUUAUACGAGAAUAAUUUGAUGCACGUGUGCGUUAUUGCAUGUAUCGUAUGAAUAAGGACCGGCUAAUUCCGUGCCAGCAGCCGCGGUAAUACGGAAGGUCCAGGCGUUAUCCGGAUUUAUUGGGUUUAAAGGGAGUGUAGGCGGUUUGUUAAGCGUGUUGUGAAAUUUAGAUGCUCAACAUUUAACUUGCAGCGCGAACUGUCAGACUUGAGUACACGCAACGUAUGCGGAAUUCAUGGUGUAGCGGUGAAAUGCUUAGAUAUCAUGAAGAACUCCGAUUGCGAAGGCAGCAUACGGGAGUGUAACUGACGCUUAAGCUCGAAGGUGCGGGUAUCGAACAGGAUUAGAUACCCUGGUAGUCCGCACAGUAAACGAUGGAUGCCCGCUGUUAGCGCCUGGCGUUAGCGGCUAAGCGAAAGCAUUAAGCAUCCCACCUGGGGAGUACGCCGGCAACGGUG
rnacentral:rRNA from 1 species